UACGGAGGGUGCAAGCGUUGCUCGGAAUUACUGGGCGUAAAGGGCUCGUAGGCGGCCAACUAAGUCAGACGUGAAGUCCCUCGGCUUAACCGGGGAACUGCGUCUGAUACUGGAUGGCUUGAGGUUGGGAGAGGGAUGCGGAAUUCCAGGUGUAGCGGUGAAAUGCGUAGAUAUCUGGAGGAACACCGGUGGCGAAGGCGGCAUCCUGGACCAAUUCUGACGCUGAGGAGCGAAAGCUAGGGGAGCAAACGGG
rnacentral:rRNA from 1 species